rnacentral:rRNA from 1 species
GAUGAACGCUGGCGGCGUGCCUAAUACAUGCAAGUCGAGCGAACGGACGAGAAGCUUGCUUCGCUGAUGUUAGCGGCGGACGGGUGAGUAACACGUGGAUAACCUACCUAUAAGACGGGGAUAACUUCGGGAAACCGGAGCUAAUACCGGAUAAUAUUUUGAACCGCAUGGUUCAAAAGUGAAAGACGGUCUUGCUGUCACUUAUAGAUGGAUCCGCGCUGCAUUAGCUAGUUGGUAAGGUAACGGCUUACCAAGGCAACGAUGCAUAGCCGACCUGAGAGGGUGAUCGGCCACACUGGAACUGAGACACGGUCCAGACUCCUACGGGAGGCAGCAGUAGGGAAUCUUCCGCAAUGGGCGAAAGCCUGACGGAGCAACGCCGCGUGAGUGAUGAAGGUCUUCGGAUCGUAAAACUCUGUUACUAGGGAAGAACAUAUGUGUAAGUAACUGUGCACAUCUUGACGUUACCUAAUCAGAAAGCCACGGCUAACUACGUG